GUAGCAGAGACGCAAGUUCAGGGUGUAAGCUUUCAGUCUCCUAAUGCUUUGUGGAAGCACUUGAAAAAAGCAGAUGCCUUUCUAUAAUAGCUCCAUGAUAGCUGACAUUCAUAGAACUCUUUGUUUUCUCAGCAUCAAUAUCCUCCAUGGGGAUGGAUCAAAUGUCAAGGGAGCUUGUUGCUACAGUGCUUGUGUACACUAUCCACAAAGCAGGAGAGGAAGAAAAAAUUAAAGAAAAGCUAAACCUUGCCAGAUGCUGUAGAGUUCCUUAGACUUGGGAAAGAGACUUCUACUCUGCAGGUUCAGACAGUCAAGGCUUUGCAGGGUUUGCCAGCAGGCAGGGAUAUCUUGCUUUGGUCCACGAGAUGUCACCAGAGGGUAACAAGUAACUGGAAGUUUGUAUUAAAGUGGGAUUCAAGCUUGCUGUACUAUGAGCUAAGGGGAAGCUACAUGGACAGGGAGCACGGGAAAGCCCAGAACUCCUUCUGCUGGCUAGACAUAGAAUGCUCCAGGCUACAGCACUUUCUGAGAACACACCCUCCUGUCUUUUCUGUUCCAUUUUCUGUUUUUUUUUAAUGGUUUGAUGGGAGACCUUACUGUAGUGGUCUAAGGCAGCAUGCUGCAUUCUAGCUGGCUGAAGUGACAACAGUUAUACCACAACGCAACACUCACCUAAUUACUGAUGGAUGGCAGACAGGUGGGAUUCAGAGUGGGUGAUUUGUGACUUCAGUGAACCUGUGUAACAGGUCACCAGGAUUUGUUAUUAUCUUACCUGUUUCACCUGACCCUUCCCAUUAAAACCCCCAACUGUGUAUUUUUCAGGAUUGCUAAAUUAGUCUUCAUUUUCCAGUUUUAAAUGCCUUUCUGUCCCAUCUUCAAAUCCACAGCUGCUACAGUUGCUAUUAAAGGAUUAUUUGCUGUAUUACAUAGAAUGGUUAAGGUUGGAAAAGACCUUAAGAUCAUCCAGUUCCAACCCUCGCAAGGUUGAAAUCAGAUGAAACAGGUUGCCCUGAUCUGAUUAAUUGGUACUGCCAAAAGUGGUGAUUCUGUUACUCUCACCUCUUUACAUGGCCUCCUAGCUCCACUGUCUCCCUUGCUGUAGCUCUGGUGCUCUUCUGACAUUUCAGUGAUGAAUUCAGCUUACUAAGCCAGCAGAAAGCUCUGUUUUGCUGUGUGAGUUCUCAUCUGACUCAUUGAGUAGAACUGGCUCCUCAAGGAGUCGUAUUAAUACCAGUGUUAGAAUUAAUGCAAAGGAAGGAAUGAGGAGAUAAUAAUCCCCCGCUUGAUCUCCCUUCCGUACAUGCUACAUUCUUUUGU